rnacentral:rRNA from 1 species
AAACUAGAUACAAGCGAGCGGCGGACGGGUGAGUAACACGUGGGCUAACCUGCCCAAGAGACUGGGAUAACACCUGGAAACAGAUGCUAAUACCGGAUAACAACACUAGACGCAUGUCUAGAGUUUGAAAGAUGGUUCUGCUAUCACUCUUGGAUGGACCUGCGGUGCAUUAGCUAGUUGGUAAGGUAACGGCUUACCAAGGCAAUGAUGCAUAGCCGAGUUGAGAGACUGAUCGGCCACAUUGGGACUGAGACACGGCCCAAACUCCUACGGGAGGCAGCAGUAGGGAAUCUUCCACAAUGGACGAAAGUCUGAUGGAGCAACGCCGCGUGAGUGAAGAAGGGUUUCGGCUCGUAAAGCUCUGUUGGUAGUGAAGAAAGAUAGAGGUAGUAACUGGCCUUUAUUUGACGGUAAUUACUUAGAAAGUCACGGCUAACUACGUGCCAGCAGCCGCGGUAAUACGUAGGUGGCAAGCGUUGUCCGGAUUUAUUGGGCGUAGAGCGAGUGCAGGCGGUUCAAUAAGUCUGAUGUGAAAGCCUUCGGCUCAACCGGAGAAUUGCAUCAGAAACUGUUGAACUUGAGUGCAGAAGAGGAGAGUGGAACUCCAUGUGUAGCGGUGGAAUGCGUAGAUAUAUGGAAGAACACCAGUGGCGAAGGCGGCUCUCUGGUCUGCAACUGACGCUGAGGCUCGAAAGCAUGGGUAGCGAACAGGAUUAGAUACCCUGGUAGUCCAUGCCGUAAACGAUGAGUGCUAAGUGUUGGGAGGUUUCCGCCUCUCAGUGCUGCAGCUAACGCAUUAAG